rnacentral:lncRNA from 1 species
UAACUAGUCUAACAACCAAAACUCACGUGCCCUUGGCACAAUCUGAUACAAGAUAUAGAAAUCUGGGUCCACUGUCAACCGCGACGGUACCCGACAGUACAAAACGGUCUACACCCUACUGUAAAACAAACUCGGAAUUUCAGCACGAGUGUAAACUCAUCCUACACUAAUCCGGGUAUCCACUGCAUCCUAACAGUGAUGAUACAAAAGAACCACAGCUCCUAAAACUAAAUCUGGUAACUUUUCAAAAAUGACAAUGUAGGGUUCAAUCGUUUUCUCCUAAGUUAAUUUCAA